ACUCCUACGGGAGGCAGCAGUGGGGAAUAUUGCACAAUGGGCGCAAGCCUGAUGCAGCCAUGCCGCGUGUGUGAAGAAGGCCUUCGGGUUGUAAUGCANUUCAUGUGUGAGGAAGGUGGUGUCGUUAAUAGCGGCAUCAUUUGACGUUAGCACAGAAGAAGCACCGGCUAACUCCGUGCCAGCAGCCGCGGUAAUACGGA
rnacentral:rRNA from 1 species